UUUCGCGGGGGUACGAUAUUCUUUUGUUUCUAAAAGCUUUGAUUUUUUUUUUUAAGUUGUGGCGACUUUGUCCUUUGUAUAGUACAAUAUUCCUUUAUAUAAUUACGCAGUAAAACUCAAGCAGUUAGGAUUUAUUUGAUACGAUCUAAUUAUUUACAUUCAAUAGACGAUUAUUAUAAUUGAAUAAGCAUAAUUUAACGUGCGUGCAUAUGUGUGUGUGCGUGUGUGUGUGCGUGUCUCUACUGUUGCCAAUAAAAACAAAAAUAGAAGUGAUGAGAAAGUUCAAGUGAUUUGAUCAACGUAGUACUUAUUUCUUUUCGGUUGAUCGGCCGCUGUCGUUUUAUGAAUUUUUCAUCGUUUUAUAUCGGCGGUGCUGCAGUUUAAUCAUUUUCCAGAAGCAACGAAGAAUAUCGAAUAGCGAUCAAAAUGAUGAACGCACGAAGGAGAAGUUAUGAAAGUAGAUUAUCGGUAUGACUGAAAUGUCGCAACUUUGAUGUCUACGCCAAUGAGACACGCAGAGAGUUUGAACCUGCUCGGAGCCGAAAGCGGGUUGUACGGUAAUUGGAGAGCACAACGCCGGGGAACCACGCUCGCGUUUCUAAUGAGGCGACCGAGAACUUGACCCCCAACGAAUAGGAGAAUACCUAUCGUUCUUCUUCCCUAUGGAGGAUUUAUAUGGGAUUUUUUAUAAAAUAAAAGGAAGGUGUUUGACGGAGCAAAGAAAAUAAGGAGGCAAUAAUUCAAGAAAGAAAGGAUAGAAUGAGAAAGAGAGAAAGGAGACUUUGAAGGGUGCAGAAAAAAAAAAAAUCAAAGGCUUUUGGUGGUUCUUCUCGUUUCGUAAAAUAAGACCGAAAAUCCAAUAUAAAAGCAAUAUCUGAAGUGACACGGCGAACAGCACGACGGAGUUCCUCUCUCGCCCUAUCAACGAAGAAGAACAACAAACGAACGCACGAGAGAUAGAAAUUGAUCGAUAAGGGAUAAGGAACAAAGUGACGACUUACCGUAGCUGGACAAGACGAGCUGUCCCUGGAGAGACUACCGAGAGUCACCAGCAAACGACGCGGGGCCCCCAACACCGACUCUCGCCAUCCCUCUGAAAAGAAAAAGAAAAAGAUAAAUAGCUCAAGAGAAAAUUGCAUUAUUUAUCGGCUGACAUAUUUCACGAUAUUUGGUUCUGCAUUAUCCAUUUUGAUGAAUGGUGACACUUGGAGGAACAAUAAAUAAAAGUGCAAUAAUUUUUUUAAGUGAAUUAAACGCAAAAAUGUUCAUCCAUUAUUGAACGUGAAUAUAUAACUUUUAAAAAAAUUCAAAAAAGGAAUUUCCAAUGGAAUACGUUAUUCAGCCUGAUGCCUUUUGAAGAUAAAACGUUCGAAUCGAUCUUAUUCUGGAAGAAUUCGUACGUUGCAGCAGAUCCGUCUAUAAGGGCAAAGUAGGAAGAUUGUUCGUAAUAAUUUGGCAUGGUUCGUUUAUUAUUUUCGCAAGGCGAAGCCAAGCAUAGAAACAACGAGAAAUUAUCUGGAUGCUUAUCGCUCAGGAAGCGUCAAACGAGCACACUUCCGGUUCGCGGGUUAAAGCAUUUCCUAUUCCUUCGAGAGUCGUCAACCCUUUUGCACUACGAGUAUGAAAAUAAGCAGAGAAAGAGAAUACAUGAUAAAAAGAGAAAGACAAUGUGGAGACGGGGUCCACAUAUCUUCCUUGCUAUUGGUGGAAAUGCCAUUUUGAGUGGACUCCUUCUAACUGAUAGCACGGUGUAUCGUCGUCCUCAUAAUUUCAGCUUUUAAGAAUUCUACGUAUCCAGAUAAAGUCCAACACACGUACACACAUAUACAUAUGCAGAGGAUACGAUACUUUUUCUACCUAUAGCUGUCCCCUCCUGUGUUUACAUACAAAAUUUUGAGAUGAGAAUUUCAUCGGGGGGGGGGGGGGGGGAAAGAAAAAAAAAAGGAAGAAAGAAAAAAAGAAAAAGAAGAACCUGGUCUAAGGAGGAAACGAGCCAACAAAUCGGAUUCACGAGAUGCCGGACAUUGCAACGAUACGACGCCGGAGGUGGUCCAAGAAACGCAUUGAAAUCGUCGAGAAAUUAGGAAUCGUCGGCUGGCUAAACAUCGAGCGAAAUGACGUCGUUAAACGGUGGACGUUUUAAUUAUGUGAGUUCUACCCGUCUGUCGAUGACAUCGACCAGGUCCUCAUGAUGACGUAAUCCUGGACUCGAUAUAAAUCGAGCACGUUCUGGGAUACAUGGUGGGUGGUAAAGGAGGAGGAAAAGGAGGAGGUAGAAGAGGAGAAGGAGGAGGAGGAGGAGGAGGAGGAGGGUAAUAGGUGGUGAACGCACGAGGGUUCAUAAGUGGGAGAUAUAGGAAGGAAGGGGGGAGAGAGAGAAGGUCGAUGCACAAUGAGUUAUUUCGAGUUACUUAGCUCAUCGACCUGAAUAAAUACGAUGUCGAAGAAUUUCACAUGUUUCUAUAUAAUAAUAUUUGAUAAAUUUUGAUAAAGUGUCAUUAAGUUGAUUAAUAAUAAAAAUAACACCUCCUUACUCGUGGCUCUAACUAAUAACAAUAAUGAUAAUGAUAAUGAUAAUGAUAAUGAUAAUGAUAAUGAUAAUGAUAUUUAUUAAAUGAAUUACAACCCUUAGAUAUGGUAAUAUAAAAGGGUACAACAAUGAAAAGGAAAAACAAAGAAAAAAAAAGAGAGAGAGAGAGAGAGAAAAUAUUGACAAAUAUCAAUCGAAAAAUUGACAAAUGGAUCAAUCCAUUAAACGAUCCUAAUAAAUUAUUUUUAUUUGAUCUAAUAAUUAAAAAUACUAUCGUCAUUUAAACUUGAAUAUAAUUUUUAUCCAAUUAAAGAUAAAUUUCGAUCGAGAAAUCUUUGUAUUUUAUAUAUGUAUAUCUAUAUAAAGAAACAAUUCAUAUAUUCUACGAAAGAUUAAUGAAAUCAUGAAAGAUUAUGAGAUAGCCUUGAAGAAUUGUAUUAUAUUAUAGCUACUUAUAAUGGCUAAUCAUUUUUGUUGAAAGAGAUGAGUUUAGUCCUUGAGAAAUCAAAUUAAGAAAUGAUUUCUCUUGACGAACUUCUUUGAAUUCUUUUAUUUUAAUACUUUUAACUUUUAAUGGAUGUGUCUUUAUUCGUUCUUCAGGUUUAAAAAAAAAAAAAAAAAAAAAAAAAAGAAAGAAGGAAAAAAAAUGAAAGGAAAAGAAAAGGAAGAAU